rnacentral:rRNA from 1 species
GACGAACGCUGGCGGCGUGCUUAACACAUGCAAGUCGAACGAAGAGCGAUGGAAGCUUGCUUCUAUCAAUCUUAGUGGCGAACGGGUGAGUAACGCGUAAUCAACCUGCCCUUCAGAGGGGGACAACAGUUGGAAACGACUGCUAAUACCGCAUACGAUCCGACCUCGGCAUCGAGGAUGGAUGAAAGGUGGCCUCUAUUUAUAAGCUAUCACUGAAGGAGGGGAUUGCGUCUGAUUAGCUAGUUGGAGGGGUAACGGCCCACCAAGGCAAUGAUCAGUAGCCGGUCUGAGAGGAUGAAAGGCCACAUUGGGACUGAGACACGGCCCAGAAUCCUACGGGAGGCAGCAGGGGGGAAUCUUUCGCAAUGGACGAAAGUCUGAAGGAGCAACGCCGCGUGAGGGAUGACGGCAUUCGGGUUGUGAAGCUCUGUUAAUCGGGACGAAAGGUCUUCUUGCGAAUAGUUAGAGGAAUUGACGGUACCGGAAGAGAAAGCCACGGCUAACUACGUG